AACGAACGCUGGCGGCAUGCCUAACACAUGCAAGUCGAACGAUACCUUCGGGUCUAGUGGCGCACGGGUGCGUAACGCGUGGGAACCUGCCCUUAGGUUCGGAAUAACUCCCCGAAAGGGGUGCUAAUACCGGAUAAUGUCUUCGGACCAAAGAUUUAUCGCCUUUGGAUGGGCCCGCGUUGGAUUAGCUAGUUGGUAGGGUAAAAGCCUACCAAGGCGACGAUCCAUAGCUGGUCUGAGAGGAUGAUCAGCCACACUGGGACUGAGACACGGCCCAGACUCCUACGGGAGGCAGCAGUGGGGAAUAUUGGACAAUGGGCGAAAGGAUGAUCCAGCAAUGCCGCGUGAGUGAUGAAGGCCUUAGGGUUGUAAAGCUCUUUUACACGGGAUGAUAAUGACAGUACCGGGAGAAUAAGCUCCGGCUAACUACGUG
rnacentral:rRNA from 1 species